rnacentral:lncRNA from 1 species
GCCCAUUUUCACAAACAUGUAAAACAUGUAAAACAUGGAUGGAACCAGUCUCUUCUCCCAUCAUCUAACACCUAGCUCACAUACCUCAAAAGAUAAAGAAAAGCCCAAUAAAAUGAACAAAUCCACUGUAUUACCUUCUGCCUCACUCCACAAGCCAAAUUAAUGACAACUUUUAAAGCAAGACUUUUCUGCUAUUAAGUGGAAUGUUUUCUUUCCCUAAGUAGCCUCCUCCACAGCUCAACCGCGAAAGGAGCGUUCAAAACUCCAGGGGGAAAGGGGGAGGGGGCAUAUCUCGCACAAACUGGACAAAGCUGAGCCAGUCUAGAAUCCGACGGAAGUCACUGAAUCCAGCGGCCUCGGAAGCCCACACUUCUCCUCAGCGCAACCAAGGUUCUAGCCUCACUGUUUUGGUUACAGUGUUGAAGGAAGGGUUUUAAACUUGGCAAAGUACCAUGCAACAUCUGUAACCACAUUUGCCUUCUGGGGAUCGGAAGAUGAAUCCCACAUUCCUGGCUUUGAAGCUUUUUAAAACUGCAGCUAGGAAGAAGGGAGGGAGAGAGGGAGUUGAGCAGAGUUUAUUGGCUGUCUCUCCAGCAGAAAAUUCUCUUGGAAGGGAUGGCUACGUUGAGGGUGGGGGGAUUCGCCCAUCUCUCCACUCUACGAAGCUCAGCUGGGAAGGUCCACUCAUGCAGAGGGCAUUAUUGGGUGACUAUCUGCAGUACUGCAAAAGGUUACACAGGAAAUGGAAGGUCUGGUCCUUGCAGGUCAGGAGUUUACAGUGUAAUUAG